UCUUCCUGUAUCUUCUCCCUGACUUCAUGAGGGAGAACAGGCUGUGUUAUGCUGGAUGCUCUACAGACGCAGCGUUGAUUGUAUAAAAACUCAGCAAAGAUGGCAGCGAGGCACCAGUGAUUUCUCACUAUCCUGUUCAGUCUUUCUUCCGCUCUGCUAUUAUCAAAACCAGGAAGUGAUGCAGUAGACAGGCAUGAAAGCCCCAGAGAGGCUCUAAACUGGUGUGUCUGGGGAGACGGAGGUCAAAGGUCAUCAGAGCUCUUCACACAGUUAACCAGCAGCAGCUUUUCUCACCUUGAAGCCUGUCACAGAAUCACAAAGCCCAUCGUUUCUCUCUUUGGGUUUUUACUGACAAGGAGGACAAAGGCUUUCUGAAUUGCUGUAGGUGAGGUUUGGAGGAGGAGGAGGAAGAGGAGGAAGAGGAGGAGGAGGAGAAGGAGGACCAGACAGCGUGUGUCACUGCUGUCACCUAGUGAACAGUGUUUUCAUGCUUGUAGAGCUGCAGCAACGUGCUGCAUACAGACGAGAUGGAGAGAAUAACUUUCUCUACAAAGCUGAAACCGGACGGGAAGUCACAUCCACUAUUAAUUUAACUAUGUAGUGAAUUAAAUAUCAUCAUGUUAUAGACAAAUGUUCUGGUUUUGUUUACAGUAUGCACUAAAAAUGUUUAUACCUGUAUUAUAUCAUCACUUGGAAAUAUCACACAUGCGUAAAUCGUGUGAAUUCAUGUGAAUUAUCUAAAAACAUGCAUGUAGAUCCGAACUGCUCCAACUGAUUCAUAAAGCCUGAACUUCUCUCUGGAAAUACUGAGACAUUCAUGUGUUUCAAUGAGUCAUUCUGGUCUUAAUCAUUAAAUUCAGACCCUUUACUAA